rnacentral:misc_RNA from 1 species
CUCACAAGGACAUUUUCUGGCUUAAGAUCGCGGUAAAUAAUCCCCAGCAUAUGAAGGUAUUCCAAAGCUAGCAAGACCUCCGCAACGUAAAAUUUCACUGCCUGCUCAAGAAAAUGCUUCCCUGGCUGCCUCUGCCUAAGAGUGUGCAAGUCUCCUCCAGGACAGAACUCCAUUACCAAACAUGAGAAUUUAUCAGUCUCAAAGUGGGUAUACAGUGUUGGAAGGAAGGGAUGGUCCAAAGAUUGCA